GAUGAACGCUGGCGGCGUGCUUAACACAUGCAAGUCGAGCGAAGCGCUUUUUUAGAACUCUUCGGAGGGAAGAGAGGGUGACUUAGCGGCGGACGGGUGAGUAACGCGUGGGCAACCUGCCUUACACAGGGGGAUAACAAUUAGAAAUGAUUGCUAAUACCGCAUAAGACCCCGGUACCGCAUGGUACAGAGGUAAAAACUGAGGUGGUGUAAGAUGGGCCCGCGUCUGAUUAGGUAGUUGGUGGGGUAGAAGCCUACCAAGCCGACGAUCAGUAGCCGACCUGAGAGGGCGACCGGCCACAUUGGGACUGAGACACGGCCCAA
rnacentral:rRNA from 1 species